rnacentral:rRNA from 1 species
AUGAGGAUGAUGCCAUCGUCUGACUGGGCGAGGCGAGGCUGCGAAGGCGGAGGUUGCCGCUCCUGCAGCUGCUCGGCCCUCUCUUCCUUGGCGUCGAGUUCUUCUUCGACCUUGGCUGCACGCCGAGAGAGGAAAGAAGGACACGAUGGAUGUCAACAUGAAGAGGGUAGAGGACGUGCUGAUGCACAAGCGGCUCCUGGAGCUGGCCAGGGAUUCGAUGCAGCGCCAGGCUUUCGCCGUGGGGGCCGUGCAAGUGAGUUGUUUGUCCCUCCUCGCGACACUCGCAAUAAUUUACGAAUGCAAUUCGGCGCUACACUGAUUGAGUCAAAAUUCGGCUGUCUGCAAUUUUAUUAUCUGGUCUGA